rnacentral:rRNA from 1 species
UACGUAGGGGGCUAGCGUUGUCCGGAUUUAUUGGGCGUAAAGAGCGUGUAGGCGGCCAGGUAGGUCUGCUGUGAAAACUCGAGGCUCAACCUCGAGACGUCGGCGGAAACCAUCUGGCUAGAGUCCGGAAGAGGAGAGUGGAAUUCCUGGUGUAGCGGUGAAAUGCGCAGAUAUCAGGAAGAACACCCGUGGCGAAGGCGGCGACCUGGGCCAAUACUGACGCUGAGGUGCGAAAGCGUGGGGAGCAAACAGG